rnacentral:tRNA from 1 species
GUUGUCGUGGCCGAGUGGUUAAGGCGAUGGAAUCGUAAUCUUUUGGGAUCUCCCCGCGCAUGUUCGAAUCCUGCCGACAUCG